rnacentral:rRNA from 1 species
GAUGAACGCUGGCGGCGUGCCUAAUACAUGCAAGUCGAGCGAAUGGAUUAAGAGCUUGCUCUUAUGAAGUUAGCGGCGGACGGGUGAGUAACACGUGGGUAACCUGCCCAUAAGACUGGGAUAACUCCGGGAAACCGGGGCUAAUACCGGAUAACAUUUUGAACCGCAUGGUUCGAAAUUGAAAGGCGGCUUCGGCUGUCACUUAUGGAUGGACCCGCGUCGCAUUAGCUAGUUGGUGAGGUAACGGCUCACCAAGGCAACGAUGCGUAGCCGACCUGAGAGGGUGAUCGGCCACACUGGGACUGAGACACGGCCCAGACUCCUACGGGAGGCAGCAGUAGGGAAUCUUCCGCAAUGGACGAAAGUCUGACGGAGCAACGCCGCGUGAGUGAUGAAGGCUUUCGGGUCGUAAACUCUGUUGUUAGGGAAGAACAAGUGCUAGUUGAAUAAGCUGGCACCUUGACGGUACCUAACCAGAAAGCCACGGCUAACU